UACGGGGGGGAGCAAGCGUUGUUCGGAUUUACUGGGCGUAAAGGGAGCGUAGGCGGGUUUUUAAGUCAGGUGUUUAAUCCCGGGGCCCAACCCCGGACAGGCACUUGAAACUGGGAAUCUUGAAUAGUGGAGAGGUCAGUGGAAUUGGGGGUGUAGCGGUGGAAUGCGUAGAGAUCCCCAAGAACACCCGUUGCGAAGGCGGCUGACUGGACACAUAUUGACGCUGAGGCUCGAAAGCAUGGGGAGCAAACAGG
rnacentral:rRNA from 1 species